rnacentral:piRNA from 1 species
UGAAUUUUCAUUGACCCUUCUGCCU